UUAGUUACAAUUUGGGUACCUUAAUUAGUUACAAUGUGAGUAACUAUUAUUCCUUAAUUGUUUUUCUUUAUUUUAUGAAAAAAUUUAAGGUGAUUAGUUCUUAAUAGUUGGUUAAAAAUAAAACAAACGAUGAAGAUGAAUGCCUUUGUUUCUCGUUCAAUUCAACAAACCUAAUAUAGAAAAAUGGGCUAUUUUAAAGCUCUCUAAUAAAGUAUAGCUUUAAUUGCGUUACUAACUAGCAUAUCAACUGCAUUUUUUUUUACCUCUCUUUUCCUUUGUCUACUAAAAUUAGCUAGCCAAAUUUAUUCAAAAAAAAAAAAAAAAAAAACUAGCUUAGCAAAACAAGUCCAUAUGAGAAAUACAAUACUAGCAACAAUUUAGCAAUUAAUGAAUAUUUAUUUUGUCAUGUAGUGGAAAAUAUCACUUAAAAUUC
rnacentral:lncRNA from 1 species